rnacentral:tRNA from 1 species
GUUAGGGUGGCAGAGCCCAGUAAUUGCAUAAGACUUAAGCUCUUAAGAUCAGAGGUUCAACUCCUCUCCCUAACA